rnacentral:rRNA from 1 species
UUCAACUUGAGAGUUUGAUCCUGGCUCAGGACGAACGCUGGCGGCAGGCCUAACACAUGCAAGUCGAACGAGAAGCCAUCCUUCGGGAUGGUGGGCAGUGGCGAACGGGUGAGUAACGCGUGGGAACCUGCCCUUCGGUACGGGACAACCGCGGGAAACUGCGGCUAAUACCGUAUAUUCCCUACGGGGGAAAGAUUUAUCGCCGAAGGAUGGGCCCGCGUCCGAUUAGCUUGUUGGUGAGGUAAAAGCUCACCAAGGCAACGAUCGGUAGCUGGUUUGAGAGGAUGAUCAGCCACACUGGGACUGAGAUACGGCCCAGACUCCUACGGGAGGCAGCAGUGGGGAAU